CAUUAACAAGAAGACCAGGGUUUCGGCCCUGGUGGGGUGGGCCUCCGGGUCUGCUCUGCUUCUUCACCCAGUGUAUACCUACCAUUGUUGCUUUGGCGGGCCGUGGGGGAUUUUCCUCCACCGCCGGCCCCGGGCUUGCCCCGGGUCCAGGUGCGUGCCCGCCAGAGGCCUUCAAAUCAAAACCUGUCAUCUGUGAUGUCCGAGUGAUUACACAAUUAUCUAAAACUUUCAACAACGGAUCUCUUGGUUCUGGCAUCGAUGAAGAACGCAGCGAAAUGCGAUAAGUAAUGUGAAUUGCAGAAUUCAGUGAAUCAUCGAAUCUUUGAACGCACAUUGCGCCCCUUGGUAUUCCGAGGGGCAUGCCUGUUCGAGCGUCAUUGCAACCCUCAAGCUCAGCUUGGUGUUGGGCACCGCCCCCCGGGGUGGGCCCGAAAAUCAGUGGCGGUCCAGUGAGACUUCAAGCGUAGUAAAUUAUUCAUCCGCUUUGGAAGCUUCUCCCUGUGUGCCAGCCGGAAAACCCCAUAUUUUUCAAUGGUUG
rnacentral:rRNA from 1 species